rnacentral:rRNA from 1 species
AAAACCACGAGUUUGAUCGUGGCUCAGAAUGAACGCUGGCGGCGUGCCUAACACAUGCAAGUCGGAUGUGCCCAGCAAUGGGUGCAUGGCAGACGGGUGAGUAACGCGUGGGGGAACCUACCUCUUUGUGGGGAAUAACGUUCCGAAAGGAAUGGUAAUACCGCAUGAGACCGUUGGCUGGGAUGCUGACGGUGAAACCCGGGGACCGCAAGGCCUGGGGCAAGGAGAGGGUCCUGCGUCUGAUUAGCUAGUUGGUGGGGUAACGGCCUACCAAGGCGUCGAUCAGUAGCCGGCCUGAGAGGGUGAUCGGCCACACUGGAACUGAGACACGGUCCAGACUCCUACGGGAGGCAGCAGUGGGGAAUUUUGCGCAAUGGGCGAAAGCCUGACGCAGCAACGCCGCGUGGGUGAUGAAGGUCUUCGGAUCGUAAAACCCUGUCGUCAGGGACGAAGGUUGCAUGUCUAACAGAUGUGCAACUUGACGGUACCUGGAGAGGAAGCCCCCGGCUAACUCUGUGCCAGCCGCCGCC